ACCACUACCACUUCCACUUACCACUUACACUUACCACAAGCACUACCACCACCACCACCACUUCCACUUACCACUUCCACUUACCACUUCCACUUACCACUUCCACUUACCACUUCCACUUACCACUUCCACUUACCACUUCCACUUACCACUUCCACUUACCACUUCCACUUACCACUUCCAUUACUACCACGACUACCACUAACCAUCACCACUUUCAUCUCCAUUCUUGUCAUUAUUGGCUUGUUGUACGUUGUUCAAAUGUUUCAACGUAUGUACAUUUGUGACUACGAUUUCUUGUUAGCGAUAUAAACGAAGAGGAUAAAGACUUUGGAGUAAAUAAUUUUGGCCGUGCCACUAGCAUAAUGUAUUUGUGCGUCUAGGUAUCCUUAGCGUUGCAAGUGGAAAGUGGCUUCACACUAUAAAUGGUUGACACAGCUAAUACAUUAGACAUAAACUUUCUCAGCAUUCACGAACAGUAAAAAUACUAUUGGUAAAUGAUUCAUGGAUAUAUAGUAUUAGUAUUUGGCAUUCGUUUCGCUUAUGAAUUGUGAUUGAACCGAUAUCGUAUCAUCAUUAAAAGUUUCCUGUACAUCUUCUACAUCAUUCAAACAUGUGGAAGAAUCAUAAAUUUCACAAAAAUAAUGUCUCAAUCGCAUACGUAUUGUCUGCUCUGACUUGGCUUGUCUUCUGUAUGUGAUCCAAAUAGACGAGAAUGUCAAUCCAUCAUGUACGACCAAUCACACUUCCUAUAGCUGAAACCGAGUGCAAAUGCUUUUGUAGCAAUCAUGAUCUGUGCCUUUCCAAGUUAGGGGUUCCAAGACUCGUCAAAGUGAAUUUUUCAUUCUUCUUCAUUUAAAUCUCUCGUGUAAAUGGUUAUCAAGAUGUGAUGAGAGAACAAGUCAGGGUGGUCGAAAAGGAUGCUUAAUUAAUGUACGGUGAACGUUUCAUGUUUAUUCAUUGAAUCACCUUUCCAAAGUCUAUUAUUUUGUUUUUAUCAACAUUCGAAAAUUCAAGGGAAAGCUUAAAUCUCUUCUAAGAAUACAUGCAGAAACAAGAAAAAUGGUUUCCCGCCCAGUGGAUGCUUCUGUGAAUACACAAAAGUUUUGUAUGAAAGGUUAAAGCGGUUGUUUGGCACUGAAUGUAACUACCAAGGAAAAAGUAAUGCUAAGCAAAUUUAAUGAUGCAUAUAUAAUUGGGACAAUUGCAACAUUUGCAAUGUUUUGCCAAAGCGAAAUUGUAUCUUUCGUUUGCGUAUAAGGAAUGUGCCUCGUCAAAUUAUCAUCCAUCCCAGCUGAACAAAUACUGUCAAAGAUUUCAAAAAAUACCGUGAAGCAUUUGCUUUAUUAACGAUGUUACUCAAUAAAAAGAUAUUCAUUUGUGGCAUAACAAGUUCUCAAUUCGAUUCCAAGUACAUGGAGAGCGUAUGUUGAAAUUAAUAAAUCUAAAAUGGUGAUUAAGGAAGGAUUACUGUGCAUCUUUGAAAGUCAUUCAAUUCCUUAAUUAAAAACGACCAAUAUGCUGCGGUUCACCCUUAACAUCAUGUUUUUAACCAACGACAUCAUGGGUAGUAAAAUAAGUAAAACCAUAUUCAUAUUCUUUCUUAAUUUUCUCAAUUUUGAUCGUAUUUCGUUUUUUUCCACAACACCAGAUAUUAAAAUCGAUAAAGAACUUUUUCCAUCCGCAGUUGGGAGUACAUCAUUCCUACUUCGAUAUACUUUUGAAAGAGAAAAGUGAACCGAUUGGAAUUGUUUCGACAACACGAAUUUUACUUCUAGGUCAUAUAUUUAUGGCGAUGCCAAACAACAAUAUUGUUGAGACAGUAAGUUAAGCAAAUGGCUAAAUAAAUCCAAGACUGUUGUUGAGUGCUGUGGAUCUCAAUAUUAUCAGUAUCUACUCUUCUCGAUGAUCCUGUAAAUUUUUGUUAUCUUUUUUUAUUUGCAGUUACUGAUAAUACUAGCAUUUUGCAUGCUUUUUUUUAUUUGGAUGUUCUUCCAAUUGAUCAAUACAGUAACUUUAGAACUAUCAUCGCUAUGCCUUUAAAUGACCGCACUAAAAGCAUGGUACCGAAGCACUGACAUAACAGAGAGGUUCAGAAAGGAAUUUAAAGAUUGACUUUUUCGAUAAACUUCAUGUUACAAGUCUUAUCGUUUGUGUUUAUAAAUCAUCAGCCUCUCUCUAUAUCUCUAUAUCUCUAUAUCUCUAUAUAUCAGAUAUAAAGAUGCGAGUUUUGAAGUAGACAUUCCGCACAAAGUCUAGUACACCAUGUCUCUUGUGCUCAGGCUGGUUGUCCUGCAAAAAUGUACAACAGGCAAAUGGAUGUUUCAUCAAAGAUGGACUCCUUUGCCUCAUACUUAUUGAUGGCGAAGCUAGAUCCGUUAUCAUCUUGAGAAAACACAUCGUUGUCUUCAGAGUAGUGAUAGUUCUUAUCGUUGUAGUUAUAGUUGUAGUUAUAGUUAUAGUUGUAGUUGUAAUAACUCUUUCAACAAGUCCUGAAUCUUGGCAAACAGACCCUCAUACAGUGCUGUCAGCUCACUCAAGUCCAAUCGCACCAUGUUAAUUAAACGCAUCUCCAAUGCACGGGUACAUAGAAUUACUUCGAGACUGAAACAAUACGGUGCUUGGGCUUAGUCCUUGUAGUGUAUUUUGCAUACAUACCCUUCUGUUCGAAUGAUAUCCCUAAUGACUUUGUGGGUUUCGUAAAGAACAUCAUAUAGAUUUCUUUGACCAAGUGUAAUAAAGCAAAACACACGGACAUAGUAUGGAUAUGGACACAGCAUGGAUAUGGACACAAGCAACACUACCAGUCGUUUGAAACGAUGAAAUGGGCAACAAGUCGAUUUGUUUUUCAUCUAUCAAUCGUUGUAAUUCACAUGCAGCUACAAGACGACACGUUAUAUUUAGGGUGCAAAGCAGGUAGAGAUUUCAUAGGCAUAUUUCGAAGUACCAGCUUUAUGCCAAAACAUGCAUGCAUGCAAGAAACUCCAUAACUUCGUUUGCGCAACUCCUGCUUAUCGUCUUCUUUCUAUACCCAUGCUGUUGGAUCAAUGAAUGAACGUAGCAAUAGAUACAAGAUAUAGCGCCACACUUUUGAGCAUAUCCUAAUGACAGUAAUUCGUUUUGUUCUAAGCGACCAAGUAUUCGCUUGCAACACUAUAGUUCUCACUUUGAGGAAACAUUCCUUUGAUGCCCAUGUUCAUUCCACUUGGAUGACAGAAUCCUCGAUAGUAUUAGUAUUAAUGAAUUAACUGUCAGGAUGUGUUGUCGUUCUUGAAGUAAGUCUUGUGAAAGAAACCACCGAGUUAAAAAUAGAGAUCUUGAUGGUUUUAUAUAUAAAAGUUUAAUGCUUGCCUAUUUAUACAUUUCCCAAGGACUGCUGAGGUAGAUGCGUUGUUCAGUUGACUAGGAUUUGUUUGAAUUCAAAGAUUAUCUAUUCAAGUCUUCUUUAUACGUUUGCAUGUGUUUGAUAAGAAUUCCAUUGAUUCAGAAAAAAAGUGCCAACAGUUUUUCCAACUUGACUGACACUACAACCUUCCAAUCAUAGCCAUACUACUAUGGUAUAAAAA